rnacentral:rRNA from 1 species
GACGAACGCUGGCGGCGUGCUUAACACAUGCAAGUCGAACGGAAAGGCCCUGCUUUUGUGGGGUGCUCGAGUGGCGAACGGGUGAGUAACACGUGAGUAACCUGCCCUUGACUUUGGGAUAACUUCAGGAAACUGGGGCUAAUACCGGAUAGGAGCUCCUGCUGCAUGGGGGGGGUUGGAAAGUUUCGGCGGUUGGGGAUGGACUCGCGGCUUAUCAGCUUGUUUGUGGGGUAGUGGCUUACCAAGGCUUUGACGGGUAGCCGGCCUGAGAGGGUGACCGGCCACAUUGGGACUGAGAUACGGACCAGACUGCUACGGGAGGCAGCAGUGGGGAAUAUUGCACAAUGGGCGGAAGCCUGAUGCAGCAGCGCCGCGUGCGGGAUGACGGCCUUCGGGUUGUAAACCGCUUUCGCCUGUGACGAGGCGUGAGUGACGGUAAUGGGUAAAGAAGCACCGGCUAACUACGUG